UCUCGCAUGGGGAUGUAAUCAAAGAUUUUAUCGCUGAGAGAUGGACUCGCGUCCGAUUAGCUGGAUGGUGAGGUAACGGCCCACCAUGGCGACGAUCGGUAGCCGGACUGAGAGGUUGAACGGCCACAUUGGGACUGAGACACGGCCCAGACUCCUACGGGAGGCAGCAGUGGGGAAUAUUGCACAAUGGGGGAAACCCUGAUGCAGCAACGCCGCGUGAAGGAAGACGGUCUUCGGAUUGUAAACUUUUGUUCUUGGUGAAGAAGAAUGACGGUAGCCAAGGAGGAAGCCACGGCUAACUACGUGCCAGCAGCCGCGGUAAUACGUAGGUGGCAAGCGUUGUCCGGAAUUACUGGGUGUAAAGGGAGCGCAGGCGGGAAAUCAAGUUGGAUGUGAAAUGUCGGGGCUUAACCCCGGAACUGCAUCCAAAACUGAUAUUCUUGAGUGAAGUAGAGGUAGGCGGAAUUCCGAGUGUAGCGGUGAAAUGCGUAGAUAUUCGGAGGAACACCAGUGGCGAAGGCGGCCUACUGGGCUUUAACUGACGCUGAGGCUCGAAAGUGUGGGGAGCAAACAGGAUUAGAUACCCUGGUAGUCCACACUGUAAACGAUGAUUGCUAGGUGUGGGGGGUCUGACCCCCUCCGUGCCGGAGUUAACGCAAUAAGCAAUCCACCUGGGGAGUACGGCCGCAAGG
rnacentral:rRNA from 1 species